rnacentral:misc_RNA from 1 species
GAUGAAGAACGUAGCGAAAUGCGAUAAGUAAUGUGAGUUGCAGAAUUCAGUGAAUCAUCGAAUCUUUGAACGCACAUUGCGCCCGCCAGUAUUCUGGCGGGCAUGCCUGUUCGAGCGUCAUUUCAACCAUCAAGCCCCAGGCUUGUGUUGGGGACCUGCGGCUGCCGCAGGCCCUGAAAACCAGUGGCGGGCUCGCUGUCACACCGGGCGUAGUAGAUUUUAUCUCGCUCAGGGCGUGCUGCGGGUUCCGGCCGUUAAAAAGCCUUUUUUACCCAAGGUUGACCUCGGAUCAGGUAGGAAGACCCGCUGAACUUAAGCAUAUCAAUAAGCGGAGGA